AUGUGGGCUGGUGCGUGGGACUUCCAGAGCCGGCCGGGAACCGGAGUCUACUUGCUAACACAGAUUUAACCUCCGUGUCGGAAUACAAGUGUUGAUGGCUGGAUGGGAGCCCCGUGCUGGAAAAGUGUACAGUCUGGUCGUUGAGAGAGGUGGAUGAGCACCGUUGUGUUUAUGAGGCUUGCUCCGGAAGGCAACAGACCGCAGGUGGUUCAUUUUUCCUCGCUUCUGCACCUCCGCACAGCCACCUUUGGCAUGGUCCUCGCUCCAAGGGGCCCGUGGGCAGAAGGUGACAGCAUCGUAUCCUCAGUGGUGCUGCAUGUGGCCUCUGCUGGGGGCGGGCGGUCUUUGCAACCAAGGAAACCCAUCCCUCCUCAACCUUAACCCGAACACUUCUAGUCCAACGGAACAGAGGCAAAAUCUGGUCUGCCAUCAGCAAUGUGGUUCUGGGCUGUUGGGUCAGCGUGGAAAUGGGUUUUUAGAAGAUCUGGGAUUUCAUAGCUUCCUUCACUGCCUCCAGGACCAGUGAGGUCAACCCUCAUUGCUGGAGAAGCACCAACGCAAGGCACUGAAGUGGCAGGCAGACUGAGUCCCCAGCGAACCCAAAUGCCGGGGGUGGGCUUCGCCUUCCAGAACGCCAAGUCAGCUGAGGUCCCGAAGGACUUGGGGAGUGUCAGUGAAGGAGACAGGGAGUCUGACCCUGUAAAAAUAGCUCAUCAGAGUUCAGGUCCUUUAGCCGUUUCCUCCAUCUGUCUUCCAAAUCAGUGUUCUCUCAUGUUUAUUGAAAUAUAUGCCUAUAUUGAAAUUUUAAAAAUACCUUCUCUUGACACGUCCACGAUGCCCGCCUUUAAACAACAGAAAGGCACCCCUUAGUUUUCAUAAAAUGAGAACGUGAGGAGUGCUUUUGAGGGAAAUAGUCAGUGGGGGCAUUUCAUCUUACGAGGGGAUGACGCCGACCUGGGCCUCUUUCCCGUCCCCGUCCCUCCUGGUUUUUGGUCCCAGCCUCGGACAGAAGCUGUCCGCUACACGGCUGACCAGGAGAGACCCGUCCCGAUUAGAACAACCUGCUAAUGGAGGCUGCUUCCCCAUCUGUGCAGAGGAGGGGACCAGCCAGCCCGGCCGCACAACCAAAUGCCAUGAGCAGCCUCCUACCCGAUGGCCGGCAAAAGCAGCCCACACGACUCUCCAGAGUGAUUAGGAAGCCUUUUCUCCGGGGGCGGGGGGAAUCUCCAUUUCACUUCCCAACAGCCUGAGAAUCACGUCAAUUAGAAAGAACAGAGUACGGAGUUGGCUCUGCCAGCGUGUCCAACGACAGGCUGACGUGUAUGGAAUCUUCCCGUGUUCCCUCAUCUGUCCAUCAGCUUGGCUGUCACUCCCAGGGAACGACGGGGGGUUUUUCCAAACAGUCCCUCAGUCAUUCUCACGGGAGACUGAAAGCUCGUCCUCCACGGGCACUCAUGCUGCAUCUCACCCCUUCCUCUCUGUCCGAGCAGGGCUGACAUUGUGGCCGUCAUCCCCCUUCCUGAAGGUGGGGAAGGUCACAGAAUCCGAGCCUCCGGGCCCCUUCCUACCACAUCUGUGAAGGCUUUAUGGAGGUUUCUUUCCCUUUCCAUGCUCUGGACACAAGAAAACCAGGGAACAUCCAAAAAAGCAUUUAGCAACCCCUAUUGCAAAAACCGUGUCAAUGCCGUGGAAGUAAUAGACAGUUUUACCAUGUCAGGAAUAGGUGGGCAAGCAAACUAUUUUUAUUACUCCUGUGGUAUUGUGAAUGUGGUUGUUCUUAAUGUGACAUUCCUGCAUGUCCAGUAUUGAGAUGAGAUUGCUGAAACUGCCUUUGCCUUCCAAGAAGCUCUAACUAUC